rnacentral:sRNA from 2 species
UUCGGAGGCCCGGUGGCGUAGCGGUUAACUAUCCACUUGGUGCCCCAGAAGGGGCGCGGGUUCGAAUCCUGCAGGGCUCAUUUUAACCAAUUUCCACUGUUAAAUCACCAAACAGUACCAGGUGUAACCAGCCCCUUUUAAGACACCAGCUAUAACCGGGCGCUAAAUUCUCACUGAUCUUGUAGGGCUAGAACCCCCCAAGCGCAUCAAGUUAGAUCAGUACUGGAUAGGUAAGGUGUUGUGGGGGUGGAGACACCUGCAGGAUAGCAAAUCAUUGUCAAGCUUAACUAGCCAGGGGUUCACCACCACUUCACCCACUACUAUCUAGGCACCCCUAAAUUCUGAGGAAUGAUUUAAAAACUACCCAAUUAGAGCACCCCGGGCCUAGCAAGGACCUAGGUGAGAUGAGGCCUAGACGCCCUUAAUAGAUGGUUAGUGCAAGCAAGACCAUGACAGCCAAUUGGUAGGCUGGAAUGCUGAGAUUGACAGCUGAAAGAUUGAGGGGUUUAACUAGAACUGAGUAGCUCUGAUGUUAUUCUUAGUGAGAAUCCCACUUAGAUAGACUAGUUAAAGAACCUGAAUGGGCAGUGGCACUCUAGAGAGAAUGAUAACCUCUAAUAAUAGCUCAAGAGGACAAAGGCAGUGGCUGGUUAUAUAGAGUGUUAAAAUAUAUAUAUAGCUCAAGAUGUAAACUGCAG